UACUCAUUAUGCUUCUUAUUCUUCUUCUUUUUGUCAUUAUCAAAAAGAUAAAUAUUAGUAAUUAAGAGCAUUACACAUUGCACAAGGGAGACAAUACAUCACACACUAUAUAUGGCACAUGUAUAUGAAGGAAAAUAGAGAACUUCAUUUAUAUAUUAAAAAGUUAAACAUAAACAUAAGGCCAAAAUAGGCAUACAUCAUAGAUCCAAAAAGGAGCUCAAAUAAUAAGCACUAAGUCAAACAACAAAAUGUCUAAGCUCAAAGGUAUGCAACUACAUGUGGCCUAGUCUAAGGUGGGGUCAA
rnacentral:lncRNA from 1 species